CCUCUUCGUCUAUGGAUCCUAGACUCAGCCAAUGAUGGUAAUCAGGGUUUCUCUUAAACUGGUUAACCUGGAGAAGUGAAAUUCGGUGGAGAGGUUCUUUAUUUAACCAACCAGCAGCAUGCAAAAGGAUUUAAAUAAAUUCCAACCCUAACUGGUUCAAAACUUAGGAAAACCUCUUCGUCUAGGGAUCCCAGACUCGGCCAAUGAUGGUAAUCAGGGUUUCUCUUAAACUGGUUAACCUGGAGAAGUGAAAUUCGGUGGAGAGGUUCUUUAUUUAACCAACCAGCAGCAUGCAAAAGGAUUUAAAUAAAUUCCAACCCUAACUGGUUCAAAACUUAGGAAAACCUCUUCGUCUAGGGAUCCCAGACUCGGCCAAUGAUGGUAAUCAGGGUUUCUCUUAAACUGGUUGAGUUGGAGAAGUGAAAUUCGGUGGAGAGAUUCGUUAUUUAACCAACCAGCAGCAUGCAAAAGCAUUUGAAGAAAUUCCACCUCUAACUGGUUGAAAACUUAGGAAAACCUCUUCGUCUAGGGAUCCCAGACUCGGCCAAUGAUGGUAAUCGGGGUUUCUCUUAAACUGGUUGACUUGGAGAAGUGAAAUUCGGUGGAGAGAUUCGUUACUUAACCGACCAGCAGCAUGCAAAAGGAUUUAAAGAAAUUCCAACCCUAACUGGUUCAAAACUUAGGAAAACCUCUUCGUCUAGGGAUCCCAGACUCGGCCAAUGAUGGUAAUCAGGGUUUCUCUUAAACUGGUUGAGUUGGAGAAGUGAAAUUCGGUGGAGAGAUUCGUUAUUUAACCAACCAGCAGCAUGCAAAAGCAUUUGAAGAAAUUCCACCUCUAACUGGUUGAAAACUUAGGAAAACCUCUUCGUCUAGGGAUCCCAGACUCGGCCAAUGAUGGUAAUCGGGGUUUCUCUUAAACUGGUUGACUUGGAGAAGUGAAAUUCGGUGGAGAGAUUCGUUACUUAACCGACCAGCAGCAUGCAAAAGGAUUUAAAGAAAUUCCAACCCUAACUGGUUCAAAACUUAGGAAAACCUCUUCGUCUAGGGAUCCCAGACUCGGCCAAUGAUGGUAAUCAGGGUUUCUCUUAAACUGGUUGACUUGGAGAAGUGAAAUUCGGUGGAGAGAUUCGUUACUUAACCGACCAGCAGCAUGCAAAAGGAUUUAAAGAAAUUCCAACCCUAACUGGUUCAAAACUUAGGAAAACCUCUUCGUCUAUGGAUCCUAGACUCAGCCAAUGAUGGUAAUCAGGGUUUCUCUUAAACUGGUUAACCUGGAGAAGUGAAAUUCGGUGGAGAGGUUCUUUAUUUAACCAACCAGCAGCAUGCAAAAGGAUUUAAAUAAAUUCCAACCCUAACUGGUUGAAAACUUAGGAAAACCUCUUCGUCUAGGGAUCCCAGACUCGGCCAAUGAUGGUAAUCGGGGUUUCUCUUAAACUGGUUGACUUGGAGAAGUGAAAUUCGGUGGAGAGGUUCGUUAUUUAACCAACCAGCAGCAUGCAAAAGGAUUUAAAGAAAUUCCAACCCUAACUGGUUGAAAACUUAGGAAAACCUCUUCGUCUAGGAAUCCCAGAGUCAGCGAAUGAUGGUAAUCGGGGUUUCUCUUAAACUGGUUGACUUGGAGAAGUGAAAUUCGGUGGAGAGAUUCGUUACUUAACCGACCAGCAGCAUGCAAAAGGAUUUAAAGAAAUUCCAACCCUAACUGGUUCAAAACUUAGGAAAACCUCUUCGUCUAGGGAUCCCAGACUCGGCCAAUGAUGGUAAUCAGGGUUUCUCUUAAACUGGUUGAGUUGGAGAAGUGAAAUUCGGUGGAGAGAUUCGUUAUUUAACCAACCAGCAGCAUGCAAAAGCAUUUGAAGAAAUUCCACCUCUAACUGGUUGAAAACUUAGGAAAACCUCUUCGUCUAGGGAUCCCAGACUCGGCCAAUGAUGGUAAUCGGGGUUUCUCUUAAACUGGUUGACUUGGAGAAGUGAAAUUCGGUGGAGAGGUUCGUUAUUUAACCAACCAGCAGCAUGCAAAAGGAUUUAAAGAAAUUCCAACCCUA